GGGAGGGGGGUAGCAUGCACUGUAAGGAGUGAAAAUCCAGAAGAAUAGCAAAAAGGAAGGUAAAAACCAAGGUGCUAAACAGUUAAUUUUUUUCCUAAAGCCCAGAAGAAUGGUAGCUACUGGCCAAGACUAUGCAGUGCUUACAUAUCUUUGCUCUAUGUCCUGCUCUUCCCCUUUCUCCAGCCCACACCACAAAAACACUUUGCUAAACUCAGCCCCAUAUGUCAUAAUGUAGUAAAGUGAACACCAACAAUAGAAAGGAAAGCCUCACUUUCAUUCCUGACUUAAGGUAGCCAGGUCACCAGAGCUGCCCGGUCAGUGUGCUAAGUCCCUGUAGCAUACAACGGUGCACCCAGCAGCUCCUUCUUGUAGGCCAUUUUCAAAAAUGGGACUUUCUAGUGCCUUGCAGCCUGUUGGCUUGAAUGCCGUGGUGCUUUCUGGUGUGAUGGAUCUCUGCCCCUGCAAGCAAUUCUGAUAAAAUCAACAGAUAAAACAAAAAAGAAAGUAUCAAAGCACAGAGUGAUAAACCCUCAUCCAGACCGUCUCCCCUCCUCUAGCACAGCCCUCAGACCAGUUCACCAGAGGGGUGCCCCUUCCCCUCCCAGCUGCCAGGGCAGCAGCCUGCUGCAGGGAGCCUCAGGUCUUUUUUUCCGGGAGGAGGAAGCAUUAGUGAUGAAGGUGGAACGGAUUUGCUGCUUCUCUUCCUCAUCAACACAGCUUGUCCACCAACUGCUCUGUGUGGAUCUUAAAAUAGUCUUUUGAGGAUAGGAAACUGCUCAUCAGCUUCAAACCAACAGCUACAUCUUGUGUAAAAGAGAGCAACCCAGGGUGCCGUCGCUGUCUUAGUUUCUCUUUUGUGAGCAGCUGGUGGUUGGUGGGAUGCACUGGGUAUGUUUCCACUGAUCUCGGUUUUAAAAUGCUGUCUUCCUGCUUCCUCUCUCUAUGGGGUUUUGGGGCCAGUGCUGGUCAGGGGCUGAGAUGCCUCCAGAGCCAACAAAGACCAUUCAGCAGUGCUAAAGGGUAACCUGAAGUUUUAAGUGAGUUUGCUAAAUCCUGAAGGUUUGUGACACAUCUGCCCAUCCUUGUGUUUGUAAGUGGAGUCUUUUUGGUGCUGCAUGUGGAGGAUG
rnacentral:lncRNA from 1 species